UAGCAGCAAUGGACAUUUUGUUCUCUAACACACACAGUCCUGAGAUAAUGGAACCUUUAAGGAAGGCAGAAGAAAUCGGGUCCAUGUUCUGGAGCCUCCAAAACAGAAGAGGAAGGAGGAUCACCUAGACUUUGCCUCCAGCCUUGGCCAGGUGGACUCUAAGGUCUUUGCUGCUUUAGCAAGUGAGGUUGAAGCAGAGUUUAUUCCCAAUUCCUGCACAAAAAGGGAAAUCCACAGUGGCAGCAUAUAAGCCCUCUUCAUUCCUGAUGGGUGUAGGUGCUGUGCUCUGUAACUGCUCAGUUAAAAUUAAAAAUCACAUCCUAAUCAAAGGAGCUGUGCCAAUUAAAGCCCCGUUGAGGUGGGGUUGUUCUGCUGCACCUCAGGCCGGGAUGCCUAGGACAGACCCUCUGAGCUCAGCUUUUUCCUUCCAUCACUCCCAAGGAAUCAGGUUUUCUCUCCAGAAAUGACACGAUGCUGCAGUCACUUUUACAAACUCACCAGGGAGCUGCCACAGAGGAGGAGGCAUCCAGGGUCCCCUUCUGCCCAGGAUGGACCAUGGAUGGUGUUGGUGGUUGUUCCUCUGGCAUCUCCCCUGUGGUACCUCCAUCCUCCCUCUUCUGCCGCCGACACGCUUGGUGCCCAGCAUCGUGCUCAGGAGAUCGUGCAUCCCCAGGGAUUCCCAACAGGCUCAUGUGCAGGUGACGGAGGCCCUGGCACCCGCUGAAUCCAGCAGUUAAACCACAGCACAGCUUUAUGUGGGAG